GGAUGAAUGUCCGAGCGGUCGAAGGAGCACGACUCGAAAUCGUGUGAGGCUAAUUACCUCCCAGAGUUCGAAUCUCUGUUCAUCCG
rnacentral:tRNA from 1 species